rnacentral:rRNA from 1 species
ACGACGCUGGCGGCGUGCCUAAUACAUGCAAGUCGAACGGUCUUUCUAUGGAAGCUUGCUUCCACUGAGAAGAUAGUGGCGAACGGGUGAGUAACACGUGGGUAACCUGCCCAUAAGAGGGGGAUAACAUCCGGAAACGGGUGCUAAUACCGCAUAGUUUUUCUUGAUCGCAUGAUCGGGAGAGGAAAGACGGCCUUUGUGCUGUCGCUUAUGGAUGGACCCGCGGCGUAUUAGUUAGUUGGUGAGGUAACGGCUCACCAAGACGAUGAUACGUAGCCGACCUGAGAGGGUGAUCGGCCACAUUGGGACUGAGACACGGCCCAAACUCCUACGGGAGGCAGCAGUAGGGAAUCUUCCGCAAUGGACGAAAGUCUGACGGAGCAACGCCGCGUGAGUGAAGAAGGUUUUUCCGGAUCGUAAAACUCUGUUGUCAGAGAAGAACAAGUUGGAGAGUAACUGCUCCAGCCUUGACGGUAUCUGACCAGAAAGCCACGGCUAACUACGUGCCAGCAGCAGC